rnacentral:rRNA from 1 species
AGUUGGAAACUGUUUGGCUUAGCUAAACCGUAUUGUAAACUGUAGAAACAUUUUCCUGGCACGCCGGAUUAAUAAGUCCUUUGGAACAAGGCAUCAUGGAGGGUGAGAAUCCCGUCUUUGAUCCGAGUAGUUGUCUUUUGUGAUAUGUUUUCAAAGAGUCAGGUUGUUUGGGAAUGCAGCCUAAAUUGGGUGGUAAAUCUCACCUAAAGCUAAAUAUUUGCGAGAGACCGAUAGCGAACAAGUACCGUGAGGGAAAGAUGAAAAGAACUUUGAAAAGAGAGUUAAACAGUAUGUGAAAUUGUUAAAAGGGAACCGUUUGGAGCCAGACUGGUUUGACUGUAAUCAACCUAGAAUUCGUUCUGGGUGCACUUGCAGUCUAUACCUGCCAACAACAGUUUGAUUUGGAGGAAAAAAUUAGUAGGAAUGUAGCCUCUCGAGGUGUUAUAGCCUACUAUCAUACUCUGGAUUGGACUGAGGAACGCAGCGAAUGCCWUUAGGCRAGAUUGCUGGGUGCUUUCGCUAAUAAAUGUUAGAAUUUCUGCUUCGGGUGGUGCUAAUGUUUAAAGGAGGAACACAUCUAGUAUAUUUUUUAUUCGCUUAGGUUGUUGGCUUAAUGACUCUAAAUGACCCGUCUUGAAACACGGACCAAGGAGUCCACCAUAAGUGCAAGUAUUUGAGUGACAAACUCAUAUGCGUAAGGAAACUGAUUGAUACGAAAUCUUUUGAUGGCAGUAUCACCCGGCGUUGACGUUUUAUACWGAACUGACCGAGGUAAAGCACUUAUGAUGGGACCCGAAAGAUGGUGAACUAUGCCUGAAUAGGGUGAAGCCAGAGGAAACUCUGGUGGAGGCUCGUAGCGAUUCUGACGUGCAAAUCGAUCGUCAAAUUUGGGUAUAGGGGCGAAAGACUAAUC